UAGCUCUAGGAGAGAAGGUUAGCACACCCUGGAUAAGGAAGGAAGAGGCACUAGUAGCCUUUACAACACAUAUGUGGUUAAAGCAUUGCCACACACUCUAUAUUAUCUAACCACUCUCACUA